rnacentral:rRNA from 1 species
UACGGAGGAUGCGAGCGUUAUCCGGAUUUAUUGGGUUUAAAGGGUGCGUAGGCGGGCAUUUAAGCCGGCGGUCAAAUCGUGGGGCUCAACCCCAUCCAGCCGUUGAAACUGGGGAUCUAGAGUGUGCGAGAGGUAUGCGGAAUGCGUGGUGUAGCGGUGAAAUGCAUAGAUAUCACGCAGAACGCCGAUUGCGAAGGCAGCUUACCGGCGCUCAACUGACGCUGAGGCACGAAAGUGCGGGUAUCGAACAGG